rnacentral:tRNA from 1 species
AGAGGACUCUAAAUCCU